AAAAUAUCUGGAGGUAAUAAAAUACAAUAUACUAAAAAUAAAACAGUAGAAUGGCACAACGCGUUUCAACUUAAAUCAGUCUUUUUCAAAUGCAUACUGUUCUGCUUGCUCGUUUCUUCUUUUAAACGUCGGUCCGGUCAUUUCCUGCGCGUACUUUGAGUUCACUUCUGGGUUCAUAAGUUCAUCUGACGUCACAUCUGCCCUCCGUCUUCCGGCGCUCGGCAAAAACGUGGAACAUCUUUUUAUCCCACUAGAUUAGUGACCAGAAGCUACAUUUUUUAGAUUUGGAAAUAUACAUUGAAAAUGAGACAAUCAAG